rnacentral:rRNA from 1 species
GACGAACGCUGGCGGCGUGCUUAACACAUGCAAGUCGAACGGAAAGGCCCUGCUUUUGUGGGGUGCUCGAGUGGCGAACGGGUGAGUAACACGUGGGUAACCUGCCCUUGACUUUGGGAUAACUUCAGGAAACUGGGGCUAAUACCGGAUAGGAGCUCCUGCUGCAUGGUGGGGGUUGGAAAGUUUCGGCGGUUGGGGAUGGACUCGCGGCUUAUCAGCUUGUUGGUGGGGUAGUGGCUUACCAAGGCUUUGACGGGUAGCCGGCCUGAGAGGGUGACCGGCCACAUUGGGACUGAGAUACGGCCCAGACUCCUACGGGAGGCAGCAGUGGGGAAUAUUGCAGAAUGGGCGGAAGCCUGAUGCAGCAACGCCGCGUGCGGGAUGACGGCCUUCGGGGUGUAAACCGCUUUCGCCUGUGACGAAGCGUGAGUGACGGUAAUGGGUAAAGAAGCACCGGCUAACUACGUG